rnacentral:tRNA from 1 species
GGGGCGGCAGGCGCGGCCGGAAAGUUGGUAAAUCGAAAGCGUAGGACAGCCGCCGGGGUUCGACUCCCCGCGCCCCACCA